UGUGAUCUUUCUUAACCUGGUAUAAUGGAAGUUACCCUCUGAAUUUAAGCAUAUAAGUAAGUGGUGGAAAAGAAACUUCAAAGGAUUCUUCAAGUAAUGGCGAAUGAAGAAGGAAGAGCUCAUAACUAGAAGCAAAGCCUUGUGCUCUGCGUUGUAAUAUCUUGAUCCGUGACCAGCAGGGCGGCAUGUGUAUGUCUUUUGGAAAAAAGCGCAACGAAUGGUGAAAGCCCAGUUCAACACAUGUUUUGCCCGGCGUAACGUCCGGAAUCUCUGAGUCGCGUUCCCUGGGACGGGAGCGUAAAUUAGAUGGUAUAUUUCAUCUAAAGCUAAAUAUCUUCUCGAGUCCGAUAGAGAACAAGUACCAUGAGGGAAAGAUGAAAAGUACUUUGAAAAGAGGGUUAGACGCGCCUGCAACCACUGUAUUACAAGCACUUGGAUCCUUCCAGUUCGCUGGAUCAGUGAGUCGUUCGAAUCGCCAAGCGUGACCUAGUGGAUCGUGCGGUGUUUUGUCCAGGCUUGCGGAAUCCGGCAGAUACUAUCGGUGCAACUAACGGGUCUGUCAACCAAUCUCGUUGGACCGCUCCUUGAGUGGAUCGCGUGAUGUAGUCGCAGAUCUAAGUUUUGUUUUCUGGAAAGCUGCAUUUUCUUGCAUAGUUACUCUUCUAUUCAUUUGACUGCGUUUACGCUGAUCUUGGGUAGGGUUUAGCUGUAAGGUACAGUCUUUCCGCGGCGCCGAUUCGGUAAAGGUUUCAAAUGACCCGUCUUGAAACACGGACCAAGGAGUCCACACACGUGUGCGAGUACGUGCGGUGAAACCGUAUGUGCGGAAUGAAAGUGACAGUUACAAUUUACGUUUGUAGUAACAACCGACUUCGCUCCACGGAAAGAGGUUUGAGUGGGAGCACACCUGUUGGGACCCGAAAGAUGGUGAACUAUAUCUGAGGAGGGUGAAGCCAGGGGAAACCCUGGUGGAAGCUCGUAGCGAUACUGACGUGCAAAUCGUUCGUCACACUUGGACAUAGGGGCGAAAGACUAAUCGAACCAUCUAGUAGCUGGUUCCCUUCGAAGUUUCCCUCAGGAUAGCUGGUGUGAAGCAGUUUCAUCAGGUAAAGCGAAUGAUUAGAGGAUUCGGGGACGCGUUGUCUUCGACCUAUUCUCAAACUUUAAAUGGGUGCGUAGUGGAGAUUACUUCAGUGAAUCUCUACGGAUAAUGUGUACAUCUAGUGGGCCUUUUUUGGUAAGCAGAACUGGCGAUGAGGGAUGAACCUAACGGCGGUGUAAGGUGCUGAAUUGUUCGCUCAUCAGACACCAAGAAGGGUGUUGGUUCAUUUUGACAGCAGGACGGUGGUCAUGGAAGUAGAAACCCGCUUAGGAAUGUGUAACAACUCACCUGCCGAAUA
rnacentral:rRNA from 1 species